rnacentral:rRNA from 1 species
AACUAACGCUGGCGGCGCGUCUUAAACAUGCAAGUCGAACGGAAAGGUCCUUCGGGAUACUCGAGUGGCAAACGGGUGAGUAACACGUAGGUAAUCUACCUUUGGGUGGGGGAUAACCCGGGGAAACCCGGGCUAAUACCGCAUACGCUAUCUUUUUUACGGAUUAGAUGGUAAAAGCUUUAUGUGCCAAUUGAUGAACCUGCGGCUUAUUAGCUUGUUGGUGGGGUAACGGCCUACCAAGGCAACGAUGAGUAGCCGGCCUGAGAGGGUGAUCGGCCACACUGGAACUGAGACACGGUCCAGACUCCUACGGGAGGCAGCAGUUAAGAAUCUUGCGCAAUGGGGGCAACCCUGACGCAGCGACGCCGCGUGAAGGAUGAAGGCCCUCGGGUUGUAAACUUCAAUAGACAGGGACGAAAUUUGACGGUACCUGUUGAAAGCACCGGCUAAAUACGUGCCAGCCGCCGCCGUAAAAC